AAGUCGUAACAAGGUUUCCGUAGGUGAACCUGCGGAAGGAUCAUUAUCAAUUAGCGCUUCUCGGGGGGCCUCUUUAGGGGGGACCGCGGGAUUUGUUUUUUUGUGCACUGCUUCUCUUUUUUUUUUUUCUUUUCCUGGUGCUUUUCUGCAUCGGGGGGGGGGGAGGGAAGGGGAGAGAGUUGAUUUUCUUUUAUAUUUCUUUUUUUUUCUAGUUGUGGCGGGCCCUUUGCGGCCUGCUGCGAAUAACUACAAAAGACAACUUUCAGCAAUGGAUCUCUUGGCUCUU
rnacentral:misc_RNA from 1 species